CCACCCGCUGUGCACAGCUCUUCAGAAGAAGGAAAGGGGAAGAAAGAAGGGAAAAACCUCCACAGACAUCAAAUCAGCCUCGUCACAGACCAACAGUUCUCUGCAUCACCAAUACUCAUCAGCCAUUCUCUGUGUCAGCUGCUGCCCCUUAUCUGUGUUAUCCCAGGACGAGACAGCAUGGCCAAAGCUCUGCAGAAAACCCAGUCUGCAGUUACUGAAAAGAGUGAAUAAGUAAGUAGCACAAUCUCCUGGCUCUGUGGGAUCUGAAAUGCUGAACCACCGUGCUUGGAACAACACCUCUGUGCCUCCUGCUCUUCUUCCUCCUUGCUUUUCCUGGGAAUCCCUGCUGGUGGCACACUGGCACAGCCUUUCCUGGGCAGUGAAAUCCUAUCCCAUCCCUCGCUGAGACCUGCUGGCAGAAGGUUGUGUACAGCAAGUUCAUUCUGUGAAGUGACACCACAGCGUCUUUCUCUGUGCUUAGUUCAGCCCCUAAAAUAAAUAAUGAUGGCAGGUGGUCUGUAUUUCUAAAUAACACUGUUUAAAACUUAGUUCUUUGGAGCACUUUUUGUGGGGGUUUAUUUGUUUGCUGGUUUGUUUUUCUUCUCUAACUUGCCUCUGUGGUCCUGAAUUUGUGUCAGUGAAGUGUGGAAUAAGUGGCCAGGAAAGGAACAUCUGCUUCCAGCUGUGCUCUGGCCAAGGCUUUAAUGAUUGGUUCCCUCUUGUUUAUCUGGAGGAGAAACUUUGGGCUUCAUGGGUAAAUCAUCUAACCUGUUCUCUUUGCCAGGAGGAACAGGUAAGCAUUAUUUAUGUUGUAACAAAAUGAAUUGUUUCUCUCUGUAUGGGAAAUGGUUCUUUUAAAUAUGAGAUGAAUUAAAUGUAAUUUUUACAGUACUGGGCACAUUAAUUAAAUGAAUGGGGAAAAAAAUAGUGCAACUGUGUAUACAUGGACACUGAAGGCAGGAAAAGCAUCCAUUAUACAGAAAAUUCCUUAUAUAAAAAAAGGAUCCAGGGCACAUGUUAUUUUUAUAGUGGUGACCGAAGUAAGAGUGAUCUUCCAGUUUCCAUAAGUUUUACCAGAGGAAUAUUGGGUUAAAAGGGUAGUUUCUGCCAGGGAAAUGUGCAUUUUUAAUUUGGAAUGCUGCAGGCUAAAUGUUAUUAUAGAAAGUAAUUAACAUACAAAGUUCUUGCAGUUGUACCAUAUAUAAAACCAGAAAAGGUUUAGGUUGCCAGAAUCAGUGUGCUGAAGGGAAUUCCACUGUUGCUUAGGGACAAAGUUGUAAUUAAUUGUUUCAUAUUAUAAUGGCACACAUGCAAACAUACAAUAAUAAAUAAAUAAAUAUGAUAUAUACGUUUAGUUUUGUAAAACUUUCAGUGCUUCAGAUCCUUAUUUAACACAUAAUGUAGCACUUCCAAAUAAAAUACCCAAUACUGCAAUAGAACAAGCUGUAACAAACAACUUAUCAGCAGAUAAUUCUUGCUUUACAUACCAAAAACAUAUUUGCUAUUCCCUGUUGCUCAUUGACUGAUUUUAUACUGCUUUCUGAGGCUAAAUAAUAUCUUGUUUAGAAGAAAUGCUAAUAGAAGCUAGUUUGAAUUUAGUACAUAUUAGAUCUAGCUAAUUAUUUUGCUUUCUUUCACGUUCUUUGAGUCAGAACUCAUGCUAAUGAAGCCUAGAAAGAAUCUUUAAAAAAAAAAAAAUUCUUUCUAGAAAUAUUAAUCUCACCUUAAUGCUGAAGUUCUCAUUUGAAUAAAUUAAAACAAAACAAUGAAAAGCUGUACUAAGUUUGGACAAGACAUGUGGAGUUAUUUCUGAUAAAAUGCCCUGCUUCACUAGUGGUAUUGUGCCUACUAAAUGUUUGGCUGAUAAUUCUGCAGUUUUUUUCAUUUCCCUGGUGGACCUGAACUUCCACUCUUUAUUGUUUCAUAUUUGUUGCAGGACGAGGCUACCAGCCUACAGCUAAGCUUGUUGUCACUAGGGUGUGGGUUUUUCCCCCUUUUCUUUGUUCAUUUGUUUGUUUGUAUUCCUCUUCCCUGGAUGUUGAGCCACAAACUCUGCAAAUCGACCUGGAUCAAAGAGAUGGAAGCAAAAUACAGAGUGGCAAUUCGCUGCCUUAUCAAGCUGUGGAUGGCGUCGGGCUGGCAGCCAGAGCCGAAACAUCAGAGGGCGUGACUGGAAUUUGGAAUGACCUUGAUGGAUUGGGAAGAGUGCCCUGAAGACCUUGGAGAUAAUUCAGCACAGAUAUGCACAGCCACAGGAGGGGAGCCGAGGUAUUUCCCCCAAGACCUGGGUUUCCUCAGAGCACACACAAGCCAAGUCCACUGAGGAGCACAAAGUAAACCAUCACAGGUAAGUCACUGCUUGGGGUGAGAACAAGUUCUCUGUCAUCACAGCUCUCUGUGACAGUCCCGACUGGCACCCGGGGGCCAUCGCCACACGCCAGCCCCUCCACUGAGCUUUCCUGAGACACUUCUGUGGUUCGACCACAUGGAAGCAUCUCAAGCCACGAGAAAAUGGAUGAGAGAUUCAAGUUUCCCUGCGUGCUGUGUCUGUGUUAGACAAGCUAACAGCUUGAUCCGCCCCAGGCAAGGCCAGAGCUCCGGAGCCAGCUGCUGGCAGUGCUGUGCGGGCUGUCAAAGGUCUCCACGAGAGCAAACACCAUCUGCAACAGCUAUGUUUUUCCAACAGCCCAAGCAGCUCCUGCUGGUUUGUUGUUUUUUUUUUUCAGGGCUGAGCAGUAGUUUUGCUGUGGCUGAAGAGCCCUAAAAUAUCCCACCACCGCUGUUCUGAGUGAAACCUGGAGCAUCUUUUUUGUGCGUUCAGAGAACAGGUCUGGACAUGCUCAGCCUUUCAGAUGAGGAGACUGCGAGGUGCCUGAUGACCUGAUUAUGUACCUGAGGGAAUUCAGCCUUUCUGGAGGAAUCCCUACACCAACCUGCCUCAGCCCCACCAGGGUAGCAAGGUAUAAUGCCACUAACCUUCCCUGACACUGCUAUGGCAGCACUGGACAUGAAAUGUCUGUCCCCAGCACCUGAACCCACAGCUCCAGGUUUCCCAGGCAGUGGCACCUUGUACAGCAUGUCCUUUCCAGCUUUCUGAAGCUGGAAAACACACAGCUAAAAACCAGCACCAGUUUCCUUUUGAAAGUACAUUUUCAAGGCAAGAGCUUAAGAAAUCUGCAUCUUUGUAAACUGGGUGCUUGAUCUAAUUAAUCACAGAUCAGGAGUAAUGUGUGAAAAACAGAGAGGUCUGUGGUAGGCAAUGCCAGAGCCCUGCUAUUUUGGACACUGUGUUUCUGCUGCAGGCAUCCUUUGGGAAUUGCUUGAAACUAGACCUCUGGGGAAGAUAAAUUCUUUGCACCUUUAGAAAGACUUUUGAACUAGCUUGAAGGCCUAAGAUAUAAAUAUACUGUCAUCAUAACUCGCUCUUGCCUUUACUGCCAAAAACAAGUAUAAUUUUUGAAGAAUGCCAGCUCUGUAAAUACCCUGCUAUUCUCAGCUAGCAAAAGAGCAACUGUGUCACUUUGCUGUGAUGUAGCAUUACUUUUUCAGACAGCCAGCACGACACAAGACUGGAGUUUCGAAAACUGGCUGCUUUGAAGUCUGAUCUCAGAGUGCUUAUUCAGUGUUAGCUGAAUACAAAAUAUCUCGGUAUUAGAUUUGGCUCUGGAAAUCUGACAGCACGAUAGAUUUGCUGCUGUUGCACCACGUUACUUUGAAGAAAGCUCUCUCUCUCUCUGCCCCCACAGGAAUUCCUACUUGACUGUGUGGAACAAGUGUCUCCAAUAGCCACAAGCACUAGGAAGAUCCUUGGGCUCAGCUUCACAGUGCAGGACUAUUUUUACAGAGAAGCCAUAGAACAACAGGGUUGUUUAGGUUGGACCUUUUAAGAUCCCUGAGUCCAACUGGGAAUUUAUUCUCAACAAAACCAACUUUCAGACUUUUUAAUGCCACAGCAGAACUGGCCCGAGGGUGUUUCCUCCAUGUGUGUCUUUGCAAUUGGUCACCUCCACUGACAAAGAAAGUGUGAAGUGAUUUAGCUGUAAAUGAAAGCAUGAAGCACAGUAUCAGGCUGGUUUUGAGUUACAGGGAGAGAGGUUUCCUGCAGACAAAUCCAGGGAGGGGAAAAGACCUAUUAAAAUAAUCAAGAGCUUCUGAAUUCUUCUUCGGUCUUUUAAGAAAGUCUUCUCUUCGUCCCCAGAGUUAAUAGAGUAUUUUUCAAGACCCCAAAACUGUUCUGAGCAAAUGUGAUAAAUGCAAGACCAGGAUUUUUUAGUAGACUGAAACCUUAAACCAGAGAGAAAGAAAGACCUGUCUGUAAGAAAGCAGCUUGUGAGUUAACACAGGUGCAUGAAUUCUAUGUGUGUCUUCAGUUAUGGCUUGAAAGCAUCAGUCCUCAGUAGCAAUAUAAGACAAGAUCUGAAAACUAUUCUGUGUUUUCACUGGCCCAGUGUAACUCAUCUUUUUCCCCCUCUAAGUUUUGAACAACUGGAAAGUGAAAUUUUGUUGUUUUUUUUUUUUUCAAUAAGGUAGUACCAUUUCACGGAAUGAGAAUGAAGAAACAGCCUCUUUAGGAACACCCCUUACAAGAUAAUUUCCUUGGCUGGGUCUUCUCUGAUGGCAUCCUUUUCUGCCAAGGUUCUAUGCUUUAAAUUUGCCUCUUUUGAGGAAGAAGAUGGGAUUAAGAUAGCCUAGGGGGUAGUACAUGGGAAGACAACGACUUUGGUUAAUCCUUACUCUUGCACAUCAAUUGAAGGGUUCCAGCUUGACCUGCCCCUAAAGCUUCAGUUAUGGCUUUAAAAAUUGGCCUGGUCCUAUGGAAGAAAGACCACCAUGUGUUAAAGCAUUAGUUAAAUUAAAAAGGUGAACAUCAUAUAACAGUGCACAACAAAUGCCAGCUGCUGUUGUGGGGUGGGGGGGGAGUGGAAUUUUCUGCUACUGUCAGACCCCGAUGCCCAUAGUCGCUGCUCAGAGGAGAUGGAGGUCCCUCUGGAAGGGGCUGGUUGCUGAUGGGUGGCUUCAGUGCCGCAGGGUGCUGGAUGCCCUGAAGUAGGAGAGGAACUUGUAGCAGAGGCUCACCACAAAGUACCAGAUGUUCCGAGCCAUCUGCGACCGGGCGAUGAAGAUGCGCCAGAUGAUGACGAGGAGGGUGGUGUUGAACGCGUAUCGGAUGUUCCUCAGCCUGGGGAAGAGAAGGAGGCACCUUAGAGGGGAGAAAGGUAGAAGCAACAGGAACCCUGCCAGCAGGUGACUUUGUAAGAAAUCCUAUUUACAACUUCUGAUCCUCCCUGCUUUAGUGAAGACACCGUGCCAAAGAUGUCCCUGCCUUCUUGCCAAGGACUGUGCCGAACAGUUAAUGGGACGGUGGAACCACCUGUGCUGGAGUUCUCUCUUGUUGUGUGUUCUGUCAAACCAGAACAAAGCCCUACUGAGAGGUUUUUCUUCAUGACAGUCUAUGUCUGAUACCUUCUGCUUUGGCUGUUAUAUUACUAGCUGGUUUUUACUUUGCAGGAUUGGUGUCAGGCUGGAGGACCCUCACAGGAGCUGGCGAAUACGGUUCUCUUAUUUGGGUGAAAUCUCAGCUUUAGUGUUAAGAAAUUACUCAAUAAUCAUAAAUGGUCUUCACUUCUGCAGUACUGGGAUUGUUUUUUGGGAGGGGGAGCAAUUUACAGCAUCUAUUUUAAGAUGCUGAUAAUUUCGUCCUCUUUCUGUCAAGCAAAAGAAGUUUCUGCACUUCUCUAAGUCUCACUUUCCCAGUGCUUAACCAAGGGAAAAAAAGCUUCAUACCUAAAGACCUUGAGACUGGUUCAAUUUUUGUAAGAGUCCUUAUUUUUUUAUUUUUUAAAUAAAGGUAAACUUUAUCACUACUCUAUACCACACUGCCUAUUUGGGCUACGAGGCAGUUAGUAAUCUGUUACUGAGGUUCUUAUAAAUCUUCUGAAAAUGAUCCAUGAAUGAUGAAAUUGUUUAGGAUUCCUUGCCAUGGCAAACUGUUCUAUCACUCCCUGUUUGUAAACACUGGCAAACUGCUGCCAUAAGAAAUAAGCUCUUUAUCUCCAUACUGUACAACAGUAACAAUUAUUGCAAGGUAACUAGGAUUAUUCUCCUCAAAUGCCAUUCCAGGGAGCUAGGAGGUCUCAUCCUUGUCACUGGGUAGGACUUACUUCCGUAAAUGCUGCUUUGCUGCUGGAAUUCCUGCCAUGUCCUCAUUCAGCAAGUACUUCUUGGCCCCUAUGCAGUAGCUCUCGAUGUAUUCUGACCAGUGCAGCUGACGGACAUCGAAGUUGUACAACUGGGAUUUAAAGACAGAGAGCAAAAGUUAAACACCAGAGUCCGAAACUAGCCUGCUUUAAGCAUCAAUUCUUCAUUGAAGUGGCAUUCCACCGAUAUGAAAACCCCCGUGCAGUUUUUAUGUGUCACGAGAAUUACGUGUAAUGAUGUUGAAUACCCAAGUACCUCUUUGCAAGGAGAUGCUGACCAAAGGUGCUUCAAGCUUAUCACAGAUCUGCUCUCCCCAGUUACAAUCCCGCUCUUAAGGAGUGGUAUUUCAAACAUAUAAAGACUACAACAGAGCUUGACACGCAGCAAAUUAAUUGCUCUUUGGGGACUUGAAUAAAACAGGAACUUAAUUUUGAUAUUGUUCAAGGUAAUACCCUGUGUUAACUAAAUUGCCCUAUCAAGUGCCAUUUAAAACCAGUGUGGAUGAAAAUGUCAAAAUCUUUCAAGUAAUUUCCACCUAGAUCACCCACCACAGCUGCCAUGUUAACUGCAAAGACUUCAGGGAUUAACCUGUCUCACAAGAAAGAGUAACACACUUCCUGUGAUAAACGGAAAGUUCCUGAUGAGUUACUUAAUAAAACAAGGAGGAAGUAAAUUAUUUCAGGUUAAAGCAAAUUCCAGUCAUCUGGAUGUCAUUCAAAAGCUCAACAGUACACCAAAAAUAAUUGUUACAGGUGAACAGAACUGGAGGUUAGCAAUGCAUAUUCAGGACACACUUUCUUACCUUUUUGUCCUCUGUGUUAAGGUGAGUCAUUAACAUAUUCAUGUUAUCUGAAGACCAAUUCCAGGACUGGGUGGAGAAAUACUGCAGGAGAGUCAUAGACUUGUGCAGUCGAUUGAUAAUUUUCAUCAUUCUGGAACAGAGGAGGAGGGUCAGAGGCGAACAGGAGGUCUCAACAAGUCUGAAUUGCUCCAGCUGAGGCCUCCAGAGCCAAAUGCUGCCCAGCUCUUACUGAUGGCUCGAACGUGGGUCCAAACACGUGUUUGCCACUUGUGUCUGACUUACUGGUCUGACCUAAACAGGGGUUGGAAGCCUCAUGUACCUCCUGUACGACAUGUGGAGUGAAGAGCCCAUCUGGACUAGGGUGAAGCCUGCACAGCAGAUUGCAAAGCCACAAAGCUGUAUUGCUUGCUUCCCAGGGUGGAUGCUUCUCCACAAACUCUCUUCUGUUCCCAAGCCUGGGUUGUCUGCGGAAGCAAGGCUCUGAUUUUGGAAGUUAGCUCCAGUACAGAGGUGACUACAUCUGCAGCAUGGACAAGCUCAGAAGUCCACAGCUCAACUUUAAAAUACAAUCAGAGAAUCACAGAGUGGUUCGGGUUGGAAGGGACCCUAAAGAUCAUCUCAUUCCAACCCCCUGCCAUGGGCAGGAGACACCUUCCACCAGACCACCAUCAUGUUCCAGUGUCUUACCACCAUCACAGGAAAGAAAUUCCUUCUAGUAUCUAAUCUAAAUCUACUUCCAAUUUAAAACCAUUACCCCUCAUCCUGUGAUUACACUCCCUAAGAGUCUCUCCACAUCUUUUCUGUCAGUCCCCUUUAAGUACUGAAAACCUGCUAGAAGGUCUCCCUGGAGCCUUCUCUUGCCCAGGCUGAAAAAUCCUGGCUCUCUCAACCUGUCCUCAUAGAGAAGAUGCUCCAGCCCUCUGCUCAUCUUUAUGGCCCUGCUCUGGACCCACUCCAACAGGGCCAUGUCCUUCUUGUCUUGCUUCGGGGACUCUGGAAAUGUGGGUUCAGGUCUCUCCAUGUGUCUUGGCCUUUUCUUAUGGUAUUAAUGUCCUAUACAGAAGGGGAUGGCAGCACUGCUGUCCUACCCUGCAGGAUUAUUUUACAGUUUCCCCAGUCCAAAAGGCCUCUGGCAGCUGUCCUGAAGUGUGAGACGUGCAGCGCUCGGCCGAUUUGGAGAGAACACCCUGUCCCCUCAGACUGGAGAAGGGCGAGAGAGAGAGAGAGCACUGAAAGGCUGAUUUCUGUGGAAAACAGAGCUGUUUUCAUGAGGAGUUUUGAGCUGCCCAGAGGGCAGCACAGCUGCUGGUGACAAAUACCGACGGUGCCAGGCGGGGCUGUCCCCACGCAGACGGCACUGCCACGGCCAUCAGCACCACGAGCAGCACAGACAGACACAGUGACUCCAGCAGCUCAGAGGAGAACCCUGCAGCCCUCCCAGAGCCAUCUGAAAGAGCCCCCAACCUUACACAGGCACUCCUACUCAAAGGGGCUUUCACCUUGGGAGCAAAGAGCGCCAUCAGAUUAAAGGAACCUUCGUUCUCAACAGCUGUGAGCACAUCAGAUAAACUGCAUUCAGUCAAAGUACUCUGAAAUUAUUUCAGAUCAAUCUUCCUGAUUGUGCCUGUGUAGGCAACUGCUAUGGGGCAAAGCUUUGAGAAUAUUUCAAUACCUUUUGGGAAACUUGGGAAGCAUAAUAUAUGGCUAGGUUGCAAAGAUCUAGAAGUUGCCCCUCAGACUGGCAUCCCAAAAGCCAGUGAAUAUCUUUAAAGGCUUCAGGGCUAGUGGAAUAAGCCAGAAAAACUGACAAGAGAAUCAAGAGUGUGUCCCCAUUUAUGUUUUGAAAAUGGGCUGUCCCCCAUGGCCUGCUGUCCAUGUGAGCAGAGUAAGCUCUGUCUGUAAAUUUAACCAAAGCAACAUUAUCUGGGUGGCCAAAAGUAAGGGUCAAAUAGAGAAAAGAAGUACCUACAAAAAUUAUGUUUCAUGUUAACAGCCUGAGCUCAAAUGCUGUGAUUCAAUACAUAAACUGGCUUAAAUACUGAAAACAUUGACUAAUUUGGAGGAAGGAAACAUCAAUUGGAAAACAUCAACCAAGUAGAAACAUAUUUUUCUGCAGCCUCUCUGGGAGACAAAGGUUUCCAACAGAAAGUCUCCACUGUGGAGGAACUGAGAGGAAUAAAGCAAAAACUAGCUGUCACUAUAGCCUUAAAAAGUUACACUUCAGAAACGCAUCUUGUCCUCUAGAAAGCUGUUUACAGCAAUGAUUUCUUUAUUUCCUCCCAUACAGAGCCUUGCAUGAGCAGAUUCUCAGGUGUGACAGAUUUCCCCAGGAGACUACUAAUGUUAUAAACCACAUUAUGCUCUAAGCCACGGAUGGAUGUGCAGCACCCACAGCAAGAUAUUUAGGGCAGUUUUGCUCAACAUCUGGCAAUUUAUGUGAAAUAAGGUUACAUCUAAAAUAAGUUUCUCAGGAGAGGCUGUAUAUAGAAGUCUAAAAACGGAGGAGAUGACUCUUGUACCUAACCUUUGGUAGACAGGGUACAGAAUGUGAUAAUUACAGGAGGAACUGCAGCCCAGUUCCUCUGAACUAGCCUGUAAUUCAAAUUAGUGAAGGUCAUCAGCUGGUCCUGAAUACACAGUACACUUACAAAACCAUAACCAGCUCCCAGAUAACCUAUUCCAGAUGAUAACCCAGCACCUUAUGAUGAGUUGAGUAUGGACACAAUAGAGAACUGAAGCCUGAGUUCUGGUCCUGGCAAAGAAAUCUCUCCUUCCUGCUUGCAAAUCUGGCAUAGGGUGGCAGGAAGAAUUCCAGAAACUGCCUGGAAGAUGGUUUGUACUUCAAUGGAUGGGAGUGACAAGUGGGAAGAAAGUUAAACCUAGGUGCUCUGUUUGAAGCAGAGGGAAAAACUAAAGGGAAACUUUAAAACAGGUUCAGUGAUUCAGUCUACUGUUUUUUGGGUUUUUUUGGGUUUUUUAUAUGGUUUACUGCCCUUACACCACAAAGGUCUGAUAUUUAGUUAGGUGUGAAAAGAAGAAAGAAUGAGCUACUACUAUGCUUUCUGCAACAUUCCAGUAAUACCUGGAUGAGCUUAAGUGGAGCAUAAAAAGAAAAGGGAUAUUGUAUUAUUAAAAAAAAAAAAAAUGGACUUGGUGAACUCACAGUUUCACUGCUGGGCUGUGUUUGCUCAAGUUGCAAACCUUAAAGUUCAGAAGAUCAUGCUGAGGUCUGUUUGACAUUUAAGUACCGUGUUGUGGGCAAUGUCCAUUGGUUACUUAUGCCAAUCAGCUUUAUGAAAAGAAACGUCAGUUGUAAUGGCAGUGCUUUUUUUUUCCUUACUGCUGCCCAUUUCAACAGAGUUUGGAGAUUCCAGCCUAGUCCUGCUCCAUUUCUAAGAUGAUGCCUGCCUCCUGGAUAACUGGAAGGAUUUUUCUGGACUAGUUUCCCUCCAUAGCAGGGAGAAAUGAGAGCAAUACACUAGCCAGGGAAUUCCCUGCAAACAGCUGAAUCCAGCCUCUUAGCUAGCAGAAGAGCGCAGGAGCAGCUGACAUGCACGGUGCUGGCAUGCUGUUCUCAUGUGGCACAACAAAUCUUCCUCUGUGGUGGCAGGGAGUAAAGGAGGACAAUCUCUGGAGUUGUGUUACUCACAUGGGAGACAGGAAUAUCACUGUUCCUCCAAGCCCUAACACUGCCAAGGCUCAAAUACCACCUGUAACGGGAAGCUGCCCUCCUAAAUACAACUCCGAAUUUAAUAAUUUUCAAAAACAACUGCUUCCUAGAUUUCAGGGGGCUGGGCCAGUGCUGCAAAUUGCUAAUUAUGCAUCUGAUUUACGGGGAAAAAAUUAUUAGCUGGAAUGCUGUGAGCCUUGCCAGUCACACGUCCUUAGGCAAGGUCAAGGCAGAGAGGGGCAAUCACAUUGGGAAGCUGCAGUGGUGGAGAUCUCCCUAUACAGAGGACAGCCUUCCUGCCUGGGGAACAUCUGAAACAUGUAAAACUGAGUUUAAAAGACGUGCUGUUGCCCAGGUAGCGGAAAGGGUGGGCACCCUGCCUGUGUUUAGCUACGGUCAGGCACUUUCUUCCUUUUUCUCAAGGUAAGGAGAUGGAAAGACAACCAAGGACUCCCAUCCAGGCUGAGGCAGCCAGUUCUCAUCACUGGUUGGAGAUCAGCUCCCCACCACAGUGGCAGGAGGCUGAAUUAAUUUGUGGUUUCUUACCUGGGCUUUCUCCCCGUGAGCCUCAUGUACAGGUCGUAGAGGAUGGCGGGCGCCUUGUGGCUGACAGUGAUCCAGUACUGGUUUAUCAAGUAGCUGGAGGUCAUGUGAGCGUUGGGAGUUCGGAAGGCCUGCUCCAGAGGGUUCCUUUUGAACGUGGACAUGACGUACUGCCCUGGAAGGGAACAGGCAUUUCACUCAGGAUCACUCCCUUCCAGCUGGGCACAGCCCAAGGUGAACACGUUCAACCCACACAUCUCUCUUGGACAAGAUCAUCUCAUCGUCCCUUCUGGCAUGAUGACUCCAUCUACUGCCUGCCUGAAGCACAAUCCCACUCCAGACUCAACAGUGGCAGACAAAAAAACUCCUCACCAAAACACCAAAGCAUAAAGGAGGAAAAGCAGGCAGCUGUAGCCCUGAAUUGCUUCAAGGAGCUGCAGUUCUGCUUUUCACCUGCAGCAGAUGCAAAAGAAACUGAAGUUAGAACCUGUCACGUGAAAGCGUCAAGAGUGGAUCUGCAGAACGGGGGAACUGCAAAGCCCUUCCUGAUCGUGAUGACAUUGCCACAAAAGAACCCAGAGGACAGCACAAGAUGCUGGGAGCAGAGCAGAGAGAGGCAGCACAAGGUCUAUGAGCAACCAGCAAAUGAAUAAAAGGCUGUCAUAAUUUUUUUGAAGAAACUGUGACCUGAAUAGAAGCCAAUAACAAUUUGUGACCACAAGAGAAGCGUUUGGGGCUGCUGAAUGUCUCUGGAAUGUGUAGUGGGGUCUCAGAUUAAAGCAUUACCUG